rnacentral:rRNA from 1 species
UAGGGAAUCUUCGGCAAUGGGGGGAACCCUGACCGAGCAACGCCGCGUGAGUGAAGAAGGUUUUCGGAUCGUAAAGCUCUGUUGUUAAGGAAGAACGAGUGUGAGAAUGGAAAGUUCAUACUGUGACGGUACUUAACCAGAAAGGGACGGCUAACUACGUGCGAGCAGCCGCGGUAAUACGUAGGUCCCGAGCGUUGUCCGGAUUUAUUGGGCGUAAAGCGAGCCCAGGCGGUUAGAUAAGUCUGAAGUUAAAGGCAGUGGCUCAACCAUUGUAGGCUUUGGAAACUUCUUAACUUGGGUGCAGAAGGGGAGAGUGGAAUUCCAUGUGUAGCGGUGAAAUGCGUAGAUAUAUGGAGGAACACCGGUGGCGAAAGCGGCUCUCUGGUCUGUAACUGACGCUGAGGCUCGAAAGCGUGGGGAGGGAACGGG